AUUGAACGCUGGCGGCAUGCUUUACACAUGCAAGUCGAACGGUAACAGGUUAAGCUGACGAGUGGCGAACGGGUGAGUAAUGCAUCGGAACGUGCCCGGUCGUGGGGGAUAACGCAGCGAAAGCUGCGCUAAUACCGCAUACGAUCUGAGGAUGAAAGCGGGGGACCGUAAGGCCUCGCGCGAUCGUAGCGGCCGAUGUCAGAUUAGGUAGUUGGUGGGGUAAAGGCUCACCAAGCCAACGAUCUGUAGCUGGUCUGAGAGGACGACCAGACACACUGGGACUGAGACACGGCCCAGACUCCUACGGGAGGCAGCAGUGGGGAAUUUUGGACAAUGGGCGAAAGCCUGAUCCAGCAAUGCCGCGUGCAGGAAGAAGGCCUUCGGGUUGUAAACUGCUUUUGUACGGAGCGAAAAGGUCUCCUCUAAUACAGGGGGCUCAUGACGGUACCGUAAGAAUAAGCACCGGCUAACUACGUGCCAGCCGCCGCGGUAA
rnacentral:rRNA from 1 species